rnacentral:rRNA from 1 species
AGCUCACCAAGGCGACGAUCUAUAGCUGGUUUGAGAGGAUGAUCAGCCACACUGGGACUGAGACACGGCCCAGACUCCUACGGGAGGCAGCAGUGGGGAAUAUUGGACAAUGGGGGCAACCCUGAUCCAGCCAUGCCGCGUGAGUGAAGAAGGCCCUAGGGUUGUAAAACUCUUUCAGGUGGGAAGAUAAUGACGGUACCACCAGAAGAAGCUCCGGCUAACUCCGUGCCAGCAGCCGCGGUAAUACGGAGGGAGCUAGCGUUGUUCGGAAUUACUGGGCGUAAAGCGCGCGUAGGCGGCUUGCCAAGUUGGGGGUGAAAGCCCGGGGCUCAACCUCGGAACUGCCCUCAAAACUGGCGAGCUAGAAUACUGGAGAGGUGAGUGGAAUUCCUAGUGUAGAGGUGAAAUUCGUAGAUAUUAGGAAGAACACCGGUGGCGAAGGCGGCUCACUGGACAGUUAUUGACGCUGAGGUGCGAAAGCGUGGGGAGCGAACAGGAUUAGAUACCCUGGUAGUCCACGCCGUAACGAUGGGUGCUAGGUGUUGGGCAGCAUGCUGUUCAGUGCCGAAGCUAACGGAUUAGCAUUCCGCCUGGGGAGUACGGUCGC